GCUAACCAACGAGAUGAGGAUGGUCAUUGUCAUUUUCUAAGCUGCGAACGGGCAGUAAGCUACACAACAAGAUGAGGAUGGUCAUUGUCAUUUUCUGAGCGGCGAACGGGCAGAAAGCUAUAAAACAGGAUCAGGAUGGUCAUUAUUCAAGUUCUGAGCUUGAAACGGGAAGAAAG